CGUCGUCACUGUUCAGGAAAAAGGGAAAAACCCUAGCAAUGCACUUCUCUCUGCAAUGCUCUCUCCCUCCGGUCAUCACCGCACUCUGUCCUCAGUCAAAAUCCUUCUCGCACGAGCCACGCCACCACAGGAUCAAGAAGCCGAUCUCGCACGUGCCGAAAUCCCCACUCUGCUCCACCACUGAGCGCGCACUGAUCCACCAGUGCAUUGAAGAAGAAGAAGAAGCCUUUGAUGGGAGAGUCGAAGACCAAACGCUGCCGUUGGGACUACGGCGAGAGGCAUUGCCGAGACACGUGGCGGUGAUCAUGGAUGGAAACCGGAGGUGGGCCCGGUUGAGAGACUUGCCCGUGGGGUCCGGUUAUGAGGCCGGUGUACGGUCCUUGAGAAAGAUUGUGGAGCUCUGUUGCGAAUGGGGAAUAAAAGUUCUCAGUGUUUUUGCUUUCUCUAGUGAUAAUUGGUUUCGUCCCAAAGUGGAAGUGGAAUUUUUGAUGAGUUUGUUUGAGAGGGGAAUACAGGAGGAUACGGGAAUUUUCCUGAGGGAAAACAUCCGAAUAUCUGUUAUUGGAGAUUUAGCUAGGCUCCCUAAGGCUUUUCAGGAAUUGAUAAUCAACUUGGAGGAAGCCACUAAGAACAACGCACGUUUUCAACUAAUUGUAGCUGUCAGUUAUAGUGGACACUAUGAUGUUGUUCAAGCUUGCCAAAGGCUUGCUCUGAAGGCGAAGUGUGGUCUUAUUGAACCCAGUGACAUCAAUGAGUCUUUAAUUGAACAGGAACUAGAAACAAAAUGCACUGAAUUCCCCUAUCCUGACCUACUUAUACGGACCAGCGGUGAGUUUAGAGUUAGCAAUUUCAUGUUAUGGCAGUUGGCAUAUGCAGAACUAUUCUUUGCACAAUCACUGUGGCCUGAUUUUGGAGAAGCUGAGUUUUUAAAGGCAUUGCUAGCCUUUCAGAAAAGGCAGAGACGUUAUGGUGGAUGAAGUGUUUGAGCAUACUUAGUUGAGAUUUUGUUAUUGCACAUAUGGAAUGGACAGGGAUUUGUGGUGGCAUAUGUGAAGGGCAUAAUGAGAAGCUUCAUAUGGCCUCUGGAGUAUACCAAUCAACUUGCUCAGAGCAUAUAUUUGAAGUGAAUUCUGGCAUCAUAAAGGAUACACAUCCCAUUCAAGUUGGAUGUUGAAUACGCUGCAACAGGACUGUGUGGAAUCAGGUACUGACACUGCUAGCAGCCUCUUGGAUCUUGCAGUUGCGUGUUGAACUUUGAUGAGGAGAGCAGGAUCUAGUAGCUCUGCCAACAGCUGUUUGCACAGUAUUUGUUCUAAGCAUAUGGAUGUUGGUGAAAGCAGAAAGCAACACAUGGGUCUGCUUUCACUUUUAACGACACCUUAAACAGGUUUUAGUCCUUUUGUAUAUCUAAAUGAAAAAGAGUAUUCUUGUUUUCUUAUUUUUUUUAAUUUUUUUAUUUCAUUUUUGCUUCAUUUUUAUUAAUUUUUCAAUUUGAAAUUAAGAAGGAAAAUCUAUAAGGUAUCCAUUAAUUAUGAGAUAAUCGUACCCGAAUCUGAUUAAUAUUCAAUAAUAUCAAAAUAGUUUAUUUCAAUAAAAAAUGAUGAGAA